rnacentral:rRNA from 1 species
GGACUACUCGGGUAUCUAAUCCCGUUUGCUACCCACGCUUUCGCGCCUCAGCGUCAGUUCCGGCCCAGGUGGCCGCCUUCGCCACCGGUGUUCCUCCCAAUAUCUACGCAUUUCACCGCUACACUGGGAAUUCCACCACCCUCUUCCGGACUCAAGCCUGACAGUAUCUCCCGCACGUCCUCGGUUAAGCCGAGGGAUUUCACGAGAGACUUGAAAGGCCGCCUACGCGCCCUUUACGCCCAAUAAUUCCGAAUAACGCUUGCCCCCUCUGUAUUACCGCGGCGGCUGGCAC